UACGUAGGGUGCAAGCGUUGUCCGGAAUUAUUGGGCGUAAAGAGCUCGUAGGCGGUCUGUCGCGUCGUCUGUGAAAACCCGGAGCUCAACUCCGGGCCUGCAGUCGAUACGGGCAGUCUGGAGUUCGGCAGGGGAGACUGGAAUUCCUGGUGUAGCGGUGAAAUGCGCAGAUAUCAGGAGGAACACCGGUGGCGAAGGCGGGUCUCUGGGCCGAUACUGACGCUGAGGAGCGAAAGCGUGGGGAGCGAACAGG
rnacentral:rRNA from 1 species